rnacentral:rRNA from 1 species
AUACGUAGGGGGCGAGCGUUGUCCGGAAUGAUUGGGCGUAAAGGGCGCGUAGGCGGCGCGGUAAGUCUGGAGUGAAAGUCCUGCUUUCGGGGUGGGAAUUGCUUUGGAUACUGCCGCGCUUGAGUGCAGGAGAGGUUAUCGGAAUUCCCGGUGUAGCGGUGAAAUGCGUAGAGAUCGGGAGGAACACCAGUGGCGAAGGCGGGUAACUGGACUGCAACUGACGCUGAGGCGCGAAAGUGUGGGGAGCAAACAGGAUUAGAUACCCUGGUAGUCCACACUGUAAACGAUGAAUGCUAGGUGUAAGAGGUAUCGACCCCUUUUGUGCCGGAGUCAACACAAUAAGCAUUCCGCCUGGGGAGUACGGCCGCAAGGUUGAAACUCAAAGGAAUUGACGGGG